AGAAUGUCAACCUUAAUAUACAACCUCCGUGAAUCACAGCAUCAGUAACACCUACUGAGAAGACAGCAGCCACCAGCAGGGAACAGACUCUAGGGGACAUGAUGACAUUGUAGAAGAGAGGGCUGCAGAUGGCCACAUAGCGAUCAUAGGCCAUUGCUGCCAACAUGUAGCACUCAGAAAUGACAAAAAUACAGAAAAAAAACAGCUGAGUCAUGCAUCCAGAAUAGGAGAUAGUUUUAUCUCUGCAUAAAAACCCUGCCAGCAUUUUGGGGGUAAUGACAGAAGAAUAGCAGAAAUCUACAAAAGACAAACUGCUGAGGAAAUAGUACAUUGGGGUGUGAAGUUGAGAACUCAACCCAAUUAUGGAGAUCAUGCCAAGAUUUUCCACCAUGGUAACUAUAUAAAUGCCUAAGAAGAGGCAGAAAAGGGGCAACUGAAGCUCUGGUUGGUCAGUUAAUCCUGAAAGAAGAAACUCAGUCAGUCUGGAGUGAUUUCUUAUACCCAUUCUCCUCUGAGAAAUCUGUGGAGAUGAGAGGACAGAGUCAGACCAGACUGGCAGAAUCCCAGCUUGUCUCCAAUUCCCCAUAGCCCAGGUGGGAAUCUUAUUCUUCUUACACUUCAGUAAAGCUGGAGGAUGGAAGAACUGCUGACCUCCCAAAACUUUCUGCCGUCUGAAUCUCUGGCUGUCCUCUGGGCUAAGCCUCCCUCUCUCAUCAAGGCCGUUCAGCAGGACUUAAUGCACUGAUGCUAGUGCUGCCUCUUUUGGCAAUGCAAGCCACCGAAUACCUGUUUCCCCAGGAGGAUCCCAUGCAGUGCUUCUGUCUUCCACCUACACUUCUCCCAGGAGGGGGCAAAGGUGGCAUAUGUUUUGGACUUGCCUGUUCUGGGGUCAACCAAGGUCUUAUCUCUGAAAAAUCCAACUAUUUUCCCUUUGUGUUGGGCUGCUCAUAGAGACCUCUCUAAACUUUCAUAUUUACCCAGAGAUUAUACAGAGCACCUAUCAGACAUCUGGUUUGGCAUUUUCUCAAUCUGCCCAGCUCAGGAUCUACCUUUCUCCCCGGCUCAUCAAGAAACUGUCCAUGUAUUCUUACUUCCAGUCUAUCACUGCCAUAUUAAGACAAGGCCAACUUCCUUUGGCCACUUACAUUCUCAACUGUGCAGGUGCCUCCUCCUGAUUUCCCAAAUCAGUUUAAAACAAAGGAGCUUUGUAACACUGAACAGCUAUUCUCUCAGCAAGUUUCCAAACUCUACAGAACACAUGACUUUUGUAUCUGCUCUUCUCUCAUCCUGGAGGAUGGAGAUAGGGAGAUGAUGUGCAAAAGAGAGAUGGUCCAAUUGCCCUUACCCUGUUGCUGAAAUACCUUGGAGUCUUCCUUUCCCUUCAUUCCUUAACAAUUAGGACGCACAAGUACAGUCUGGUCACAGAGACUGCACAGAGGCAAAUAGCAAAGGAAUGUUCAAGAAGACUCAUAUUCUCAGUUUUUUGCUUUUAAUCUUUUUUCAUGCAUGCCUUCAAACUGUCCUGAGUGUUAUAAACAGAAUAAUCAGUCUCAUCACAUGUUGAAUUCUCCCCCAUUUCUCCUAAUUCCUAGUGGUCUUUCUAUCCAAAUAAAAUGUCUUCUAUCCUGCCCAGGUUCCUUGUUCUGUUUCAGUGCCCUCCACCCUUCUGCCCUCUAUUCGAGCCGAUUAGGUUUCUCUCUCCUAUUUUUCCCAUUUCCCAAAUAUUUCUGUGUUUUAAGUCUUUGUCACUCAACG
rnacentral:lncRNA from 1 species